rnacentral:rRNA from 1 species
AUGGCAUCUGGUGGGGCUUCGAGCUCCGCAGGGAUCGGCGACGUCGAGCAGAUGAUGAAGGAACUUGGUUUGACAGAGGAAGACCUGGAUGAUGUGGUCUAUGAUGAGCAAGUAGCUCCUCCUGAAGAACCUAGAUGGAUCGCCAUCGCUAAGGUCAACACCACAAAGACCUAUAGUCAGACCUGGUUCUAUAGGAACAUGCGUUCGGCGUGGGACGUCGCACAGGAAGUAAAGUUCAAGGCCUUGGAGGAUAAUCUAUACACAAUCCAAUUCUCGUGCUUGGGGGACUGGGAGAGGGUGAUGAACGACGACCCUUGGAACUUCAGAGGAGAUGCAGUGAUCCUGGCCCAGUAUGAUGGUAUAACAAAACUAUCGAAGAUCAGGUGGGGGAAAGUUCUAUUCACCGAGCCCUCGUCUCAUGAUUUUGUGGGUAACUUCUAUAGAGUGUGGGUGCGGAUUAAUGUGCGUAAACCUCUCAAGAAUGCAGUAUCCAUGAUAAGGGAGGGAAAGAGGCAGAUUUACAAGGUCAAAUACGAGAAGCUGCCUGAUUGGUGUGCAGUUUGCAGCAUGCCUCGGACAUCUGUUCAAGGAGCAUGAGGAGAGGACGCCUACCACAUUCGUGAUCUCGCGGACUUGGCCCUCCGACAUUACAACUCCAACCACGCGGGUCCCGAGUUCCGGCUUCCUGAUCGGCCCACCGCAGGCAGCGUUAGUUUCAUGUGCCCUGAUCUGCCGACCACGGAUUUGAAGGCCGCCUGUGUUGGUUUUAGGGAAGACCUCUGGUACCAUAUCAACUUCUCGGCUCGCCAGACAGACGAUGAUGAGCACGUCUUCUUCGCCGAGCUACGCUACGGCCGGUGCUCUGACCAACUAACCGUGGAGACAUGCACCAUCCUAGGUACGACCUAUCUGACAGUCGAAACGUGGGACCAGGCGGCAGAGACAGCCAAUUCUAUUCAGACCGUUGCACGCGUGGCUUGUGGGACCCAGCAGAGAGUCGUUGAGCAGAGAGCCGUUGCGGGUGUGCUAUAUAAGCGGGCGACACACAGCGGCAGUGACCACGGCGACAAAGAGAACGGCGGUGACCACGGCGAGAGAGAGAGAGAGCACGGCGGUGGGAAACUAGCUGUGGAGGGCGCGGCGGCGUUGAGAUCACCUUCGGCUCCGAGCUCCAUGUCUUCCUCAAGCUCCCGCCCCACCUUGCGGAUGCAGAGCCGGGCGCGUGUGGACAUGCCUGUCUUCGUCUGUCCGCGGUGCCGGGUGGGCGUUGUUCGGAGGGUUUCUCACACACCGAGGAAUCAGAAUCGUCCAUUCUACGUGUGCAGCGAGAAUGGGGUGACAUGCUUCUUUCUUUGGGUCGAUGCUCUGGCCAAGACUCUGAUGAAUAAACUGCAAGAAGAGCAUGAAGAAUGGUUGUGCAUGUUGCCACGAACGGCAGUGGCCACAGCACGAGCUCCGGAAGAAGAGAUGGAGGGCGAAGCACGCACUGUUAGAGAGCUAGCUGUUGAGCUUAGGAUGUUGAAGAAAAAGGUUAGGAAGCUUGAAGAUCAAGCACUACCAAUACCCAUUUGCAAUUACUUUUGGGCAUUUGUAGAUAUGGUAAUCGCACUGGUUGUAAUGUUGAAAAUGUAUGGAAAGGCAUGA